AUGGGGAAAUCACCAUUUGAAGUUUUGUAUGGACAACCUCCGAGGUAUUUUGGUAUUUCUACAUCAGACACAAUUCCUCCCUUGGACAUUCAACAGUGGUUGCAAGAUCGACAGGUUGUAGUUGAGUCUGUCCGGCAACACUUGCUGCGAACUCAACAGAGAAUGAAACAGUUAGCAGAUAAACACAGGACUGAGAGAGUUUUUGGUGUGGGCGAGCUGGUUUUCCUUAAGUUGCAACCUUAUGUCCAGUCUUCAGUGGUACACCGAGCAAAUCAUAAGUUGGCUUACAAGUUAGAACUUCCGGAGGGCAGCAGGAUACUCCCAGUCUUCCAUGUCUCACAGCUGAAGAAAGUGGUUGCACCGACCUGUCCUAUAUCAAGCACGUUACCCUCUGUU
rnacentral:rRNA from 1 species